rnacentral:rRNA from 1 species
AGUGAACGCUGGCGGUAGGCCUAACACAUGCCAGUCGAACGGCAGCACAGUAAGAGCUUGCUCUUACGGGUGGCGAGUGGCGGACGGGUGAGGCAUACAUCGGAAUCUACUUUUUCGUGGGGGAUAACGUAGGGAAACUUACGCUAAUACCGCAUACGACCUACGGGUGAAAGCAGUGGAUCUUCGGACCUUUCGCGAUUGAAUGAGCCGAUGUCGGAUUAGCUAGUUGGCGGGGUAAAGGCCCACCAAGGCGACGAUCCGUAGCUGGUCUGAGAGGAUGAUCAGCCACACUGGAACUGAGACACGGUCCAGACUCCUACGGGAGGCAGCAGUGGGGAAUAUUGGACAAUGGGCGCAAGCCUGAUCCAGCCAUACCGCGUGGGUGAAGAAGGCCUUCGGGUUGUAAAGCCCUUUUGUUGGGAAAGAAAAGCAGCAGGUUAAUACCCCGCUGUUCUGACGGUACCCAAAGAAUAAGCACCGGCUAACUUCGUG